rnacentral:rRNA from 1 species
AAGGUGGCCUGUGAGGGUUGCUGGAGGUAUCAGAAGUGCGAAUGCUGACAUAAGUAACGAUAAAGCGGGUGAAAAGCCCGCUCGCCGGAAGACCAAGGGUUCCUGUCCAACGUUAAUCGGGGCAGGGUGAGUCGACCCCUAAGGCGAGGCCGAAAGGCGUAGUCGAUGGGAAACGGGUUAAUAUUCCCGUACUUGGUGUUACUGCGAAGGGGGGACGGAGAAGGCUAUGUUGGCCGGGCGACGGUUGUCCCGGUUUAAGCGUGUAGGUGUGUGUUCCAGGUAAAUCCGGUUCACUUUAACACUGAGGCGUGACGACGAGGCACUACGGUGCUGAAGCAACAAAUGCCCUGCUUCCAGGAAAAGCCUCUAAGCAUCAGGUAACAUCAAAUCGUACCCCAAACCGACACAGGUGGUCAGGUAGAGAAUACCAAGGCGCUUGAGAGAACUCGGGUGAAGGAACUAGGCAAAAUGGUGCCGUAACUUCGGGAGAAGGCACGCUGACACGUAGGUGAAGUGAUUUACUCAUGGAGCUGAAGUCAGUCGAAGAUACCAGCUGGCUGCAACUGUUUAUUAAAAACACAGCACUGUGCAAACACGAAAGUGGACGUAUACGGUGUGACGCCUGCCCGGUGCCGGAAGGUUAAUUGAUGGGGUCAGCGCAAGCGAAGCUCCUGAUCGAAGCCCCGGUAAACGGCGGCCGUAACUAUAACGGUCCUAAGGUAGCGAAAUUCCUUGUCGGGUAAGUUCCGACCUGCACGAAUGGCGUAAUGAUGGCCAGGCUGUCUCCACCCGAGACUCAGUGAAAUUGAACUCGCUGUGAAGAUGCAGUGUACCCGCGGCAAGACGGAAAGACCCCGUGAACCUUUACUAUAGCUUGACACUGAACAUUGAGCCUUGAUGUGUAGGAUAGGUGGGAGGCUUUGAAGUGUGGACGCCAGUCUGCAUGGAGCCGACCUUGAAAUACCACCCUUUAAUGUUUGAUGUUCUAACGUGGACCCGUAAUCCGGGUUGCGGACAGUGUCUGGUGGGUAGUUUGACUGGGGCGGUCUCCUCCUAAAGAGUAACGGAGGAGCACGAAGGUUGGCUAAUCCUGGUCGGACAUCAGGAGGUUAGUGCAAUGGCAUAAGCCAGCUUGACUGCGAGCGUGACGGCGCGAGCAGGUGCGAAAGCAGGUCAUAGUGAUCCGGUGGUUCUGAAUGGAAGGGCCAUCGCUCAACGGAUAAAAGGUACUCCGGGGAUAACAGGCUGAUACCGCCCAAGAGUUCAUAUCGACGGCGGUGUUUGGCACCUCGAUGUCGGCUCAUCACAUCCUGGGGCUGAAGUAGGUCCCAAGGGUAUGGCUGUUCGCCAUUUAAAGUGGUACGCGAGCUGGGUUUAGAACGUCGUGAGACAGUUCGGUCCCUAUCUGCCGUGGGCGCUGGAGAACUGAGGGGGGCUGCUCCUAGUACGAGAGGACCGGAGUGGACGCAUCACUGGUGUUCGGGUUGUCAUGCCAAUGGCACUGCCCGGUAGCUAAAUGCGGAAGAGAUAAGUGCUGAAAGCAUCUAAGCACGAAACUUGCCCCGAGAUGAGUUCUCCCUGAGACUUAGAGUCUCCUGAAGGAACGUUGAAGACGACGACGUUGAUAGGCCGGGUGUGUAAGCGCAGCGAUGCGUUGAGCUAACCGGUACUAAUGAACCGUGAGGCUUAACCUUACA